CAGUCAGGGCUCACUUGGUGGCCUGCACAGUUUGUCUGUGACUAAACCAGCCACCAUCUCCUGCACUGGAAACAGCAGCAAUAACGUCCUUGGAAUUGUGUCCUGGUACCAACAAUGAACAGGAAGUGUCCUUAAACCUCUGAUCUGUGGAUGUAAAUAUCCACCUGCAGAUCCAGAACUGAUUCUUGAGUGAUCAGUCUGGCAAGGAGGCCUUCCUGAGCAUAUCUGGGCUCCAGGCUGAGGACAAGGCUGAUCAUUAACGUUGGAUUUGGACAGUUCUCUGGAGGCCCC